UCACCAUUAUUACCUCAUAUGUGGGAUCCAUGAUUAUAAAGAAUCUCAUUUAACAAAAUAUUUUUUUUCACAUAUUUAUGAGAUGUUAUGAAGAUGGCUACACUUAUGAUUUUCGGCUUUAUGGAAUAGUAGAAUUUUCUUUAUGGGAGAUCACAAUUAUUAGAAAAAAAGUUGUUGUCAAAUACUUGUGCAGACUGCAGACUUUUCAAAUUAAAGGUCACCAUGUGUUCCUUGACAGAUUAUUCAAAUUAAUUUCCCUGGUUAGGGCUGGGCUUUACAAUGGGAUUUUCAGCUGUGGAGCUAUAAAGAAUUACUACAUAUGGUUUCCAAUGUAGUUUUGUGAACAGAAUCCAGAAAUAAGAAGAGGAGAGACAAUGCAGCAUAAGCAUUACCAAUUACUUGCCACUGCUGAGAAAAUGGUACAUGCUUUGAGUACUACUUUUGUGUAUUAGGAGACAGUCCAGUUCUUCUUUAAACCAGGAGUGGAAAUUUCAGUGCUUGUUCAAUUUCUCCAGAAGUUAUUGGAUGCUACAUAGGAAGAAAAUGGGGUCAUACUGAACAGAAUAGUUUGGAUACACCUUAUAGAUUUUAAAAGCUUGAGACCUCAAGAUCAACCCAAAUGGUGUACCAAACAUGAAGAAAAAAAGACAGUUUAUGAUUGAAGAAGCUUGUGUAGUAUCCAAAAUUUCAGGGUAUUUCAUAUAUGUUAAUUUGUACGAUUUUAUUGGUACAUGUACUUAAACAUAGUUAACAUCUUGAUAUUUAAUAUGUAUCAGGUUUCACUUGCAGGAAUACACAAAAAUUCAGAGUAAAUUUUAAGUGUUUGUUAUGUUAGAAAAGAUCAAAGUUCAAGGUCAACAGUGCUUUAGUUUUUACCAAAUAUAACACUAUUAUAAAGACUAAUUUCCUGUAUACAGGUAUAGCAAAUAAUUCAGAAUAUGAUUUGGGAAACUGUGAUUUUUUUCUUUUAAAUCUUAUCUUAAUUUAGAACCAUGAUGUAUACUUAAGCAAGUAGAUUUUUUUCAAGCAUACAAAAUUUCAAGGUCAUUUUAAUUUUGGAAAUGAAUAUAAAAUAUC